AACAUAAAAGUUUGGAUAAUUUGCAGCUUGACCAUGCAAGAGAAAAGAAAAACCCAUUUUCUGGAGAGAAAUUCAAGCCUGCUGCAGAAAUUGGCAUAAGUAACAAGAAGCCAAAUG